GAACAACUAACCAAUCCCUAUGCACAAUAUCCACCCCUUGAUUCACGCUAGACAAUAGUGGGGAUAGGUUUGGAUUUUGAAAACCCUUAUCCCUAUCCAUUGUCCCCGAACUACUACAAAAUUACUGUUUUACAUCAUUACAUCUACAUCGGUUCCUCUACAAACAAUGUAAAUAAGAAACGCGGCAGCAGUUUUGUAAAUAAAUUGAAGAUGUAAACCAUUCUACAUCGGGUCUAUUUCUGACUGAUGUAAAAAUUGAAUGACAAUAUUAUUCUACAUCGGGUUUUGCAUUUAACCGAUGUAAAACUGAAGCCAAAUUUUCGCGGCCCCUUCACCCUUUCAACACAACACUCUACUGUUGCCAAUCUAUUUCACUCAGCAGCAACAACACUCAAAACCCUAGAGAAGAGCGUGCAAGUUCCGGCUACCCACCCACCAUGACAUUCAAGCGCAGGAAUGGAGGCCGCAACAAACACGAUCACGGCCACAUCAAAUUCAUUCGAUGCUCCAACUCACAAGAUUGAACCCUCUCGACACACAUCGCCCUCUCCAACCUCUCCCUCCCCUCCGACUACGCCGUCGCCGUGGUCCUCUCGCGCCUUGCCCACGACCUCUCUGCCAAAACCCGGAGUUCAUUAAGAUCCCGGUGGGGCGGUGCCGCCUCCUGGAAGCCACACCCAGGCCUUCGAGGAACUCACCUCCCUCCCCAACAUGUGCGGUGCCAUCGACACCACCCCCACUCCAGCCCUAACCCCAACACCUACUGCCACCGACGACGCCACCCACUUUCGCAUAAUAGGCAAAUGGCAAAGUAUGAUGUUGCAAUAUCAACAGCAUGUCGUGGACUUGAUUAUAUUGUGGUGGAAACAACAAAUGCAACUCAAGCAUGUGUUGAGUUACUUCGUAGAGAGAAUCUUGGGUUGCUACUUUCAUGAUAUUGCUGGUCAACGGUUUUGAACUACUUGAAGUUAAGAACGUGGUGUUAAUAGCAAUUUUAUGUUGGUUUGGAGGUGGUCUACUCUUGGGUAGCAUCCUUUUAAAUCAAAGUUGGGGAGUGAAAGCAAGCUAGAUUCUGUCAAGUUUCAGUUUAUAAAAUAAUGCCCUUGAUUGAAUACAAUUUGUUUGUCAAUGAUUGAUGAUAUGUUCAGUUAUGUAAUGUUUUUUAUGUGCUGAUAGUACGCAACCCAGGUGUUUAUUUGAUAAAUAUAAUUUGGACAUCAUUUCUUUAUUCAGGAGAAGCAAGUUGACCUUCUUCCAAUGUUGAGAAAGAAAG